CCCUGGCUCAGGAUGAACGCUAGCGGCAGGCUUAACACAUGCAAGUCGAGGGGUAUAGUUCUUCGGAAUUAGAGACCGGCGCACGGGUGCGUAACGCGUAUGCAAUCUACCUUUUGCAGAGGGAUAGCCCAGAGAAAUUUGGAUUAAUACCUCAUAGUAUAGCAGUUUCGCAUGAAACCACUAUUAAAGUCACAACGGCAAAAGAUGAGCAUGCGUCCCAUUAGCUAGUUGGUAAGGUAACGGCUUACCAAGGCUACGAUGGGUAGGGGUCCUGAGAGGGAGAUCCCCCACACUGGUACUGAGACACGGACCAGACUCCUACGGGAGGCAGCAGUGAGGAAUAUUGGACAAUGGGCGCAAGCCUGAUCCAGCCAUGCCGCGUGCAGGAUGACGGUCCUAUGGAUUGUAAACUGCUUUUGUACAGGAAGAAACACUCCCUCGUGAGGGAGCUUGACGGUACUGUAAGAAUAAGGAUCGGCUAA
rnacentral:rRNA from 4 species